rnacentral:lncRNA from 1 species
UUAUGGCAGCACUAUGGGCAGCCUAUGGCAUUAUGGGAUUGUUAUCGGGGUAUGGGGUCGGUACUUUACUUAUGGGGCAGCACUUAUGGGGCAGCUAUGGGGCUAUUAUGGGGUUGUUAUGGGGUUAUGGGGUUGUUAUGGGGUUAUGGGGUUAUUAUGGGGUUAUUAUGGGGUUAUGGGACCAGAACCGGAACCGCUGCUCAUCCUAUAGGGGACAAUUAUAUGGGGUUAUUAUGGGGUUAUGGGGCAGCACUUAUGGGGCGGCUAUGGGGCGGCUAUGGGGUUAUGGGGUUAUUAUGGGGUUAUUAUGGGGUUAUUAUGGGGUUGUUAUGGGGUUAUGGGGUUAUUAUGGGGUUAUUAUGGGGUUAUUUAUUAUGGGGUUAUGGGGUUAUUAUGGGGUUGUUAUGGGGUUGUUAUGGGGUUAUUGUGGGGUUAUUAUGGGGUUAUGGGGUUAUUAUGGGGUUAUGGGGUUGUUAUGGGGUUAUGGGGUUGUUAUGGGGUUAUUAUGGGGUUAUUAUGGGGUUAUUAUGGGGUUAUUAUGGGGUUAUGGGGUUAUUAUGGGGUUAUUAUGGGGUUAUGGGGUUGUUAUGGGGUUAUGGGGUUAUUAUGGGGUUAUUAUGGGGUUAUGGGGUUGUUAUGGGGUUAUGGGGUUAUUAUGGGGUCGUUAUGGGGUUGUUAU